rnacentral:rRNA from 1 species
UGCGUAGGUGGUUUCUUAAGUCAGAGGUGAAAGGCUACGGCUCAACCGUAGUAAGCCUUUGAAACUGGGAAACUUGAGUGCAGGAGAGGAGAGUGGAAUUCCUAGUGUAGCGGUGAAAUGCGUAGAUAUUAGGAGGAACACCAGUUGCGAAGGCGGCUCUCUGGACUGUAACUGACGUUGAGGCUCGAAAGCGUGGGUAGCAAACAA